UACGAAGGGGGCUAGCGUUGCUCGGGAUCACUGGGCGUAAAGGGCGCGUAGGCGGCGUUUUAAGUCGGGGGUGAAAGCCUGUGGCUCAACCACAGAAUGGCCUUCGAUACUGGGACGCUUGAGUAUGGUAGAGGUUGGUGGAACUGCGAGUGUAGAGGUGAAAUUCGUAGAUAUUCGCAAGAACACCGGUGGCGAAGGCGGCCAACUGGACCAUUACUGACGCUGAGGCGCGAAAGCGUGGGGAGCAAACAGGAUUAGAAACCCUUGUAGUCC
rnacentral:rRNA from 1 species